rnacentral:rRNA from 1 species
GACGAACGCUGGCGGCGUGCUUAACACAUGCGAGUCGAACGGAAAGGCCCUGCUUUUGUGGGGUGCUCAAGUGGCGAACGGGUGAGUAACACGUGAGUAACCUGCCCUUGACUUUGGGAUAACUUCAGGAAACUGGGGCUAAUACCGGAUAGGAGCUCCUGCUGCAUGGUGGGGGUUGGAAAGUUUCGGCGGUUGGGGAUGGACUCGCGGCUUAUCAGCUUGUUGGUGGGGUAGUGGCUUACCAAGGCUUUGACGGGUAGCCGGCCUGAGAGGGUGACCGGCCACAUUGGGACUGAGAUACGGCCCAGACUCCUACGGGAGGCAGCAGUGGGGAAUAUUGCACAAUGGGCGGAAGCCUGAUGCAGCAACGCCGCGUGCGGGAUGACGGCCUUCGGGUUGUAAACCGCUUUCGCCUGUGACGAAGCGUGAGUGACGGUAAUGGGUAAAGAAGCACCGGCUAGCUACGUG